rnacentral:rRNA from 1 species
AGAGUUUGAUCAUGGCUCAGAAUUAACGCUUGCGGGAUGCCUUGCACAUGCAAGUCGAACGGAGUUUUUUAUCUCCGUGGCGUACGGGUGAGUAAUACGGGAGAACCGGCCCGUCACUUCCCUUUAAGCUAGAUGUAGGUCUAACAAAUACCGAAUAUUACCACAUUGUAUCGUUGUUGGAGGGGCUCACGGAUGAUUAGGUUGUUGGUAGGGUAAGGGCCUACCAAGCCGACGAUCCUUGCUGGUCUGAGAGGAUGAUCAGCCACACUGGGACUGAAAGAAGGCCCAGACUCUUUAUUGGGGGCAGCUGUGGGGAAUAUUGGACAAUGGGCGCAAGCCUGAUCCAGCAAUCCCGCGUGAGUGAUGAAGGCAAUUUUCUGUUGUAAAACUCUUUCAUCGGGGAAGAUAAUGACGUUACCCGAAGAAGAAGCCCCGGCUAACUACGUGCCAGCAGCCGCGGUAAUA